AACAACAGAAAACCCAACUGAAUAAAAACUGACCUCCUUUGUGGCUGCCCUGAUGGAAGGGGCUCAAGAGCAACAGCCUUCAUGGUGCCCACCCUCUGGGCCAGAACAACGGAUGCCCCACGUCUGAGUCUACUGCCUCCAAGAACCACAGCCUUUUUUGCAGCAGUAGGAGCAUACCUCUGAGGCACUGUGAAGAAUCUGAUAGUUGAACUGAAGCCAAGUCCAGUCUUCACGGAAAAAUUUACACAACACUUCCAGGUGUUAUUCCACAAGACAUAACACUCUGGCUUCAUCUCUUGCGGUAGCGUGAGUAAGUCUCUUUCCAGCAAACAAAAAG